GUGCGAAUAAUUCACCAUGACAUCAAGGAUCCUUCUCGCCGUGUUCCUCCUCAUUGGAGUCUAUGAAGUAGUAGCUCAACGUGACUGCCAUGAUAGAAGAUCCGACUGUCAUAAAUUUUUGGAUCGGUGUUUCCAUCCAAACCAUUAUUUCCAAUGUCCAGUAUCUUGUGGUGGAUGCCAUGAUCAUUGUCGGGACGAUGAUGUUGCAUGUCUAGGCUUUUCUGAGCAGUGUUUUUUUAGCAAGG
rnacentral:lncRNA from 1 species